rnacentral:lncRNA from 1 species
UCAAGCCAAGCCAGACAUGACUCGCUGCUGUUGAAGAGGUUGAAACCGUAAGUCUUGUUCAACGGCAAACGGUCAUCAUCAAGAUAAAAUGAUGGCAAGGUUGGGCCUAUUGUCUUUGCAUGCCAUGUUAGGGCCAUAUAAUCUGCCUCAUGCUCAAAUAAUUAACAUUGCAAAUGCGUCAAAAAGAAAAGCUUAUGAUGGUGAAGUGGAAUCAAAUUAUCACAACAGACACACCAACCAUAUAUUAUUUAGUGAAUAAACGUGAUUGUGGACGAACGAUGACGAUGUGUAUGCAACACCGAAGUUCAUUUGGGCAAAACAACAAACAGGUGCCGGCCGUGGUAACGGUGACCUCACCUUGGGUUCGAUCUCGUGGAAUGAGUUGACGAGCACGUCGUCGGCGUCCUCCAGCCCCUCAAAUUGCCGCAGUGAUGCCCGAAGGAACACAGGGCACCAGUCUGGCUUUGCUGCGAACGGCGGAACGUCGUCG